rnacentral:rRNA from 1 species
GAUGAACGCUGGCGGCGUGCCUAAUACAUGCAAGUCGAGCGAACAGAUGAGGAGCUUGCUCCUCUGACGUUAGCGGCGGGCGGGUUAGUAACACGUGGAUAACCUACCUAUAAGACUGGGAUAACUUCGGGAAACCGGAGCUAAUACCGGAUAAUAUAUUGAACCGCAUGGUUCAAUAGUGGAAGACGGUUUUGCUGUCACUUAUAGAUGGAUCCGCGCCGCAUUAGCUAGUUGGUAAGGUAACGGCUUACCAAGGCAACGAUGCGUAGCCGACCUGAGAGGGUGAUCGGCCACACUGGAACUGAGACACGGUCCAGACUCCUACGGGAGGCAGCAGUAGGGAAUCUUCCGCAAUGGGCGAAAGCCUGACGGAGCAACGCCGCGUGAGUGAUGAAGGUCUUCGGAUCGUAAAACUCUGUUAUUAGGGAAGAACAAAUGUGUAAGUAACUAUGCACGUCUUGACGGUACCUAAUCAGAAAGCCACGGCUAACUACGUG